AGAGUUUGAUCCUGGCUCAGACGAACGCUGGCGGCGUGCUUAACACAUGCAAGUCGAACGAUGAAGCCUUUCGGGGUGGAUUAGUGGCGAACGGGUGAGUAACACGUGGGCAAUCUGCCCUUCACUCUGGGACAAGCCCUGGAAACGGGGUCUAAUACCGGAUAAUACUUCCUGCCUCAUGGUGGGGGGUUAAAAGCUCCGGCGGUGAAGGAUGAGCCCGCGGCCUAUCAGCUUGUUGGUGGGGUAAUGGCCUACCAAGGCGACGACGGGUAGCCGGCCUGAGAGGGCGACCGGCCACACUGGGACUGAGACACGGCCCAGACUCCUACGGGAGGCAGCAGUGGGGAAUAUUGCACAAUGGGCGAAAGCCUGAUGCAGCGACGCCGCGUGAGGGAUGACGGCCUUCGGGUUGUAAACCUCUUUCAGCAGGGAAGAAGCGCAAGUGACGGUACCUGCAGAAGAAGCACCGGCUAACUACGUGCCAGCAGCCGCGGUAAUACGUAGGGUGCGAGCGUUGUCCGGAAUUAUUGGGCGUAAAGAGCUCGUAGGCGGCUUGUCACGUCGGUUGUGAAAGCCCGGGGCUUAACCCCGGGUCUGCAGUCGAUACGGGCAGGCUAGAGUGUGGUAGGGGAGAUCGGAAUUCCUGGUGUAGCGGUGAAAUGCGCAGAUAUCAGGAGGAACACCGGUGGCGAAGGCGGAUCUCUGGGCCAUUACUGACGCUGAGGAGCGAAAGCGUGGGGAGCGAACAGGAUUAGAUACCCUGGUAGUCCACGCCGUAAACGUUGGGAACUAGGUGUUGGCGACAUUCCACGUCGUCGGUGCCGCAGCUAACGCAUUAAGUCCCCGCCUGGGGAGUACGGCCGCAAGGCUAAAACUCAAAGGAAUUGACGG
rnacentral:rRNA from 1 species